UCCGUAGGUGAACCUGCGGAAGGAUCAUUAAUGAAUAACUUUGGCGUGGUUGUAGCUGGCUCUUAGGAGCAUGUGCACACCCGUCAUCUUUAUCUUUCCACCUGUGCACACUAUGUAGAUCUGGAUAACUCUCGCUCUUCUGAGCGGAAACAAGGAUUGCUGCGUCGCAAGGCCAGCUCUCUUUGAAUUUCCAGGUCUAUGUCAUUUACAAACCCCAAUUGAAUGAUGCAGAAUGUCGUCAAUGGGCUCUAAGCCUAUAAAACAAAAUACAACUUUCAGCAACGGAUCUCUUGGCUCUCGCAUCGAUGAAGAACGCAGCGAAAUGCGAUAAGUAAUGUGAAUUGCAGAAUUCAGUGAAUCAUCGAAUCUUUGAACGCACCUUGCGCUCCUUGGUAUUCCGAGGAGCAUGCCUGUUUGAGUGUCAUUAAAUUCUCAACCUCACCAGUUUUGUUAUGAGACUGUGUAAGGCUUGGAUGUGGGGGUUUGUGCAGGCUGCCUUUUGGCGGUCUGCUCCCCUGAAAUGCAUUAGCGAGUUCACUAAGCUCCGUCUAUUGGUGUGAUAAUUAUCUACGCCGUGGAAUGGGUUUAGACUUGCUUCUAACCGUCCGCAAGGACAACUUUUGACAAUUUGACCUCAAAUCAGGUAGGACUACCCGCUGAACUUAAGCAUAUCAAUAAGCGGAGG
rnacentral:rRNA from 1 species